rnacentral:rRNA from 1 species
CCUACGGGAGGCAGCAGUGAGGAAUAUUGGUCAAUGGCCGGAAGGCUGAACCAGCCAUGCCGCGUGAAGGUCAGUGCCCUAUGGGCGUUAAACUUCUUUUGUGCGGGAGCAAUAAUGGUCACGUGUGGCCAGACGAGAGUACCGUACGAAUAAGCAUCGGCUAACUCCGUGCCAGCAGCCGCGGUAAUACGGGGGAUGCAAGCGUUAUCCGGAUUUAUUGGGUUUAAAGGGUGCGUAGGCGGGCUUUUAAGUCAGCGGUAAAAAUUCGGGGCUCAACCCCGUCCGGCCGUUGAAACUGGGGGCCUUGAGUGGGCGAGAAGAAGGCGGAAUGCGUGGUGUAGCGGUGAAAUGCAUAGAUAUCACGCAGAACCCCGAUUGCGAAGGCAGCCUUCCGGCGCCCUACUGACGCUGAGGCACGAAAGUGCGGGGAUCGAACAGGAUUAGAUACCCGGGUAGUC